CUCCAUGUUAAGCAGCAUGGAUCAGUGUGAGGACAGAGAGGAGGGAGUCCCUCCCUCUAAAAGCACUCUGUGUGGGGAACAUGAGAGCCAGACCAAAGCUCAGAGCCCAGAGCUGUGGGGCGUACCAGGUUCAGCUGGACAUAGCCCUAAAACUAAUCCAGAACCUGGACCUGAACCCAGCUGUGUUUCCUUAAAGAGCAACAAGUCGAAGGGUGUUGCUGUAAACUUUAACAAAAGACUGUUAUGUGACAAAGAGAUCAAUAAGAGGCCAGAAUCUCCUGGACCUGAACCCAGCUGUGUUUCCUUAAAGAGCAACCGAUCGAAGGAUUUUGAUAUAAACUUUAAAGGCUGUUCUUCUGCUGCUGAGAGAGGGAGGAAGAGGAAGAGGAGUGGUGUUUGUGAGGAGGAGCAGCUGUCCUGCUGUGCUUUGUGUCAGGACGUCCUGAGGGAUCCAGUCUCUACCAGCUUUGGACACUGGUUCUGCAGACAGUGCAUCUCCUCAUACUGGGACCAGUCUGCUUCAUCGGGAGACUCGUCUUGUCCCCAGUGUGGAGAAAGAUCCAGAAGCAGAGCUGGACUGCAGACAGCCAGUCAGAGCAGCUGUGUACAAACAGACGUUGGUCUGCAGGAGGUUUUAGAUGAACAUAAGAUCAGUCUGAGGAGGAGAUGUGAACGUGUGACUGAAGGAAGUGAUGAAACAGGAAGUAGAACCCUCCUCAACAGGAUCUACACUGAGCUCUACAUCACAGAGGGACAGAGUGAAGAGGUUCAUACCCAACAUGAGGUGAGGCAGAUGGAGACAGCUUCUAAGAUGGACGCCCUCCAUGACGCUCCAAUCAGGUGCCAGGACAUCUUUAAAGCCUUCCCUGACCAACAGAGACCCAUCAGAGUGGUUCUGACCAACGGCGUGGCUGGUGUUGGAAAAACCUUCUCAGUGCAGAAGUUCACUCUGGACUGGGCAGAGGGCUUGGAGAACCAACAUGUCAGUGUGGUGGUUCUGCUUUCAUUCAGGGAGCUGAACCUGAUCAGAGAUGAGCAGUACAGUCUUCUGGAGCUGCUCCAUGUUUUCCAUCCAACAUUACAGAAGGUCACAGCCGAGAAGCUGGCUGUCUCUCAGCUUUUGUUCGUCUUUGACGGCCUGGAUGAAAGCAGACUUUCAUUGGAUUUCACCAACAGGAAGCUGCUGUCUGAUGUCACACAGAAGUCAUCAGUCAGCCAGCUGCUGACAAACCUCAUCCAGGGGAAUCUGCUUUCCUCGGCUCUUGUCUGGAUAACUUCCCGACCUGCAGCAGCCAAUCAGAUCCCUCCUACAUGUGUUGACAGGCUAACAGAAGUACGAGGCUUCACUGACACCCAGAAGGAGGAGUACUUCAGGAGGAGAUUCAGUGAUGAAGAGCUGUCCAGCAGAAUCAUCUCCCACAUGAAGACAUCCAGGAGCCUCCACAUCAUGUGUAGUAUCCCAGUCUUCUGCUGGAUCACUGCUACAGUUCUGGAGCACAUGUUGACUACAGAGCAGAGAGGAGAGCUGCCCAAGACCCUGACUGACAUGUACUCACACUUCCUGCUGGUUCAGACAAAGAGGAAGAAGAACAAGUACCAUGAGGGACAUGAGACGAGUCCACAGGAGCUGACGGAGGCUGACAGGGAUGUUCUUCUGAAGCUGGGGAGGCUGGCGUUUGAACAUCUGGAGAAAGGAAACAUCAUGUUCUACCAAGAAGACCUGGAGCAGUGUGGUCUGGAUGUGACAGAGGCCUCGGUGUACUCAGGAGUUUGUACAGAGAUCUUCAAAAGAGAGUGUGUGAUCUUCCAGAAACCAGUCUACUGCUUUGUUCAUCUGAGCAUUCAGGAGUUUCUGGCUGCUGUCUACAUGUUCCACUGUCACAUUAACAGGAAGACAGAGGUGCUGAGGAACUUUUUGGGUAAAAAAUACAACGAGUCCUCUCUGGAUGAUUUCCUUAAACGAGUCAUGAGAAAAUCCCUCCAGAGUAAAAAUGGCCACCUGGACCUGUUUGUUCGCUUCCUUCAUGGCCUCUGUCUGGAGUCCAACCAGAGACUCUUAGUAGGUCUGCUGGGUCAGACAGAGAUCAGUCCAUUUACCAUCCAGAGAGUCAUCAACAACCUGAAGAAGAUGACCAGUGAUGAAAUCUCUCCUGACAGAAGCAUAAACAUCUUCCACUGUCUGAUGGAGAUGAACGACCUCUCAGUACAUCAGGAGAUCCAAGAGUUCCUGAAGUCAGAGAACAGAUCAGAGAAGGAACUCUCUGAGAUCCAGUGCUCAGCUCUGGCCUUCAUGCUGCAGAUGUCAGAGGAGGUUCUGGAUGAGUUGGACCUGCAGAAGUACAAAACAUCAGAGCAGGGACGACAGAGACUGAUUCCACCUGUGAGGAACUGCAGAAAGGCUCGACUGACUCACUGUGGACUCUCAGAGUCUCACUGUGAAGUUGUGACCUCAGCUCUGAAGUCCAACCCCUCCCAUCUGACAGAGCUGGACAUGAGUUGGAACAAGCUGCAGGAUUCAGCAGUGAAGAUUCUGUGUGCUGGACUGGAGAGUCCAAACUGUCGACUGGAGACUCUGAGAUUGAGGAGCUGUGGUUUGUCAGAGAUCAGCUGUGAUUGUCUGGUAGCAGCACUGAAGUCCAACCCCUCCCAUCUGAGAGAGCUGGAGCUGAGCUACAACAAGCUGCAGGAUUCAGGAGUGAAGCAUCUGUGUGGUUGCCUGGAGAGUCCAGGAUGUGGACUUGAAACUCUGAGAUUGAUCGACUGUGGUUUGUCAGAGAUCAGCUGUGAUUAUCUGGCAGCAGCGCUGAAGUCCAACCCCUCCCAUCUGAGAGAGCUGGACCUGAGCUCCAACAAGCAGCAGGGUUAAGGAGUGAAGCAUCUGUGUGGUUUCCUGGAGAGUCCAGGAUGUGGACUUGAAACUCUGAGGUGGAGAUGAUGAUGUUAAACAGGACGGUGUGUGUGCUGAGAGAGGAGGAGCUGUGUCCUGAUGAUCCAGAGAGGUUGAAGCAGCAGCAGCUUGUGUGUAGAGACGCUCUGACUGGGCCAUGUUACUGGGAGGUGGAGAGGAGAGCUUCAUCCAGCAGUGACUGACAGAGGAAUGAAGUGCAGAUGACUGUCAGUGCUGCAGAGUGAACUGCUCUGAGAACAGCUCCACUGUCAGACACAAUGUAGAGUCUAGCAUCAUCCCUGUGUGUCCCUCUGGAUCUGACAGAGGAUCAUCAGUGGAUCUGCUCUGCUGCUGCUCUGUCCUUCUACAGUCUCUGCACAGUCUCUGUCUGACUCUGGCUUCAGACCCUCCUGGAUCAAACUCACCUGGAAAGACUUUCAAACAUCACUCAAUAGAUUUGAAUACAGAAUAUAUUUGAUAUAUACUGUAGAUGUACUGUAGAGUUGCAGUUUGUCACUUGUAAAUACAGUCUGUGAGCAGCUAUGAGCUGAAAGAUCUUUCUAGAAACACCAAAUGUUUUCACUCUUCUGUUGCUUUUUCAUAUAUUUCCACAACAUUAAUAUUGAUCCCACCUGUCUCACCUGUUUCAUGCUUUUAUACAUAAGAACAGGACACGUGUGAUCUGAGCGCUGCUGUGGUUGCUGUGCUGCACGUCUUCAUUUAGAUAACAGAGACAUCUAGUGGUUCAGAGGGAGAACUGCAGGAGGUGGAGCUGUGUUUUAGCAUGGAAAACUGUUUAUCUUUUAGGCGCAGAUACAAAUAUGACAAGUAUCAGUGUAAGAUACAAAAGGUCAUAUCAGUUAGCAGAGGGAACAGUGAUCACACAGCAAUGUAAGAAUAGAAACAGUGAAUCUGGACAUGUGUACAGAUGGAAGCAAACAAAUAGGAUGUAACACAACAUUAAAGCCACAAAUGGGAAGAAAACAAAGCCGAAGGAAAAUAUAUUUGAUCUCAGGAAUCCAAAUCAGAUGCUUUAGAGCAGGGGUCGGCAACCCUGGGCACGCGUGUCACAGCUGCCACGUGAAGGGUUAACUGAUGGCACGACCAUAGCUGGACUGGCCAUUGGGCAUACUGAUGGUGAUUUUUCGUUUUUAUGGGCCGAUGAUGUUUUUUUAUUUUAUUUUUUUGUAACGGUAUAAACGAUGAAAGGUGGUGGAUUGGCCAGAUGCUGGUUGAUGUGUAAAAAUAAGUCAGUUGAUUGGUGGUGGCUAUGGCGGAGCUUCCACAGAGGCAACAGGUGGAUGAGGGAAAGGGGAGGCAGGAGGAGCAGAGACCCGAGGCGGCUGCCGGUCCGAGUGUCAGGUGAACUGAACUUCAGGUAAGAAGUUAUGACCUGCAGUCUAUCUGGGUCAGAUAUAAACCAAGUUUAGAUGGAGUUUAUUUUCCUUGUGCUGACUUUUUACAGUCAGUUACAAUAACUCGUACUGUGCACUAGCUAGCAUGACGGAGUUUCUAUACAGCUGGGUGGGUGCUAUGAUGUCACUGAUAGUGAACUUUACAGUGGCUGCAAAAAUCUUCGCCCCCCUUGAACUUUCCCACAUUUCGUCACAUUACAGCCACAAACAUGAAUCAAUUUUAUUGGAAUUCCACGUGAAAGACCAACACAAAGUGGUGAACACGUGAGAAGUGGAACGAAAAUCAUACAUGAUUCCAAACAUUUUCUACAAAUAAAUAACUGCAAAGUGGGGUGUGCGUAAUUAUUCUGUCAUG